GCCAAAAUAGCUCAGUUGGGCGAGCAUUAGACUACAGUUCGAAAGUCCAUGGUUCAAUCCCGGGCUCCGGCA
rnacentral:tRNA from 1 species